rnacentral:rRNA from 1 species
AACGAACGCUGGCGGCAGGCUUAACACAUGCAAGUCGAGCGCCCCGCAAGGGGAGCGGCAGACGGGUGAGUAACGCGUGGGAACGUGCCCUUUGGUUCGGAACAACUCCGGGAAACUGGAGCCAAUACCGGAUAAGACCUUCGGGGGCAAGAUUCAUCGCCAAAGGAUCGGCCCGCGUCUGAUUAGCUAGUUGGUGAGGUAAUGGCUCACCAAGGCGACGAUCAAUAGCUGGUCUGAGAGGAUGAUCAGCCACACUGGGACUGAGACACGGCCCAGACUCCUACGGGAGGCAGCAGUGGGGAAUAUUGGACAAUGGGCGCAAGCCUGAUCCAGCCAUGCCGCGUGAGUGAUGAAGGCCUUAGGGUUGUAAAGCUCUUUUGUCCGGGAAGAUAAUGACUGUACCGGAAGAAUAAGCCCCGGCUAACUUCGUGCCAGCAGCCGCCGUAACAC